rnacentral:rRNA from 1 species
UACGUAGGGUGCAAGCGUUAUCCGGAAUUAUUGGGCGUAAAGAGCUCGUAGGCGGUUUGUCGCGUCUGCUGUGAAAACUGGGGGCUCAAGCCCCAGCCUGCAGUGGGUACGGGCAGACUAGAGUGCGGUAGGGGAGACUGGAAUUCCUGGUGUAGCGGUGAAAUGCGCAGAUAUCAGGAGGAACACCGGUGGCGAAGGCGGGUCUCUGGGCCGUAACUGACGCUGGAGGAGCGAAAGCGUGGGGAGCGAACAGG